CAGAAACGUUGACAACCAUAGUUCCAUUUGAGCUUUCGCUGAUUUUCGGCGAUUUGAGUAUUUCCGCGUUUUCCUUUUCGGAUACGAAUCAAUCUUGAACCUGGACUCGUUCAUAACUCGCAUACGAAUCAACCACAAGUUUAUUCCCAUAAUUUACGAGACCGAAACGUGUAGAGUUAUCAUCCUUUCCUUUUCAGCUCGAACUUGAUUGAUGAAAUGGAAUAAAAUUACGCGUUUCCUAUUUGCCUUCGAUAAAACAAGCUUAUAAAUAUCUCCCUUGUCUUCAUUCUUAAGAGCCAUAACCUUUCUCUUUUCUUUCUUGAACCGCCGCAAACAACCACGGCACCACCACCAUUUCACAACCUGUUUUGAAUACUCACACCGUCUCAUCAAACCAUACACCCUUGCCGGAGUUCGAGACAACAUCGGAGAUGAAGCUCGCCGGAGCCGACGGGUUUCCUUUUCGCUCAGUAUACAUUUCUUAACCCUUUGUUUUUUUUCUCACCGUUAUGAACUUCCAAUCAAUGAAACAAGUUAUACCAGUUGACUGUAGUUUGUUAAUCGGAGAAGACGAGCCGGAACGAUGAAGCUCUCAUCGGAAAUACACUCCUGGGAACUCGACUCAUCUCGUUUUUCAAGAUAAUCGCUUCGUUCUAUCUCUUGGGAAAUCUCAACUUUCUACUCUUCCUCAUUUUCCAAGAAAACGCAACGCAAUCAAAGGUUGAUUUUUCAAGAUUCAAGAAAACAAGUUAGGAUGGCAUUAGAAACCCAUUUUAGUAAUUAAUUAAUGUUGAAUUUAUGUUUGAUAUUUGAGACUUUGUA